rnacentral:piRNA from 1 species
GGUUCUACGAAUUCCAAUCAGGUGAAC